AUUGAACGCUGGCGGCAUGCCUUACACAUGCAAGUCGAACGGUAACGCGGGGCAACCUGGCGACGAGUGGCGAACGGGUGAGUAACGCAUCGGAACGUGCCCAAUCGUGGGGGAUAACGUAGAGAAAUUUACGCUAAUACCGCAUGAGAUCUAAGGAUGAAAGCAGGGGAUCGCAAGACCUUGCGCGAUUGGAGCGGCUGAUGUCAGAUUAGGUAGUUGGUGGGGUAAAGGCCCACCAAGCCGAAGAUCUGUAGCUGUUUUAAGAGAACGCCCAGCCACACGGGGACUGAGACACGGCACAGACUCCUACGGGAGGAAGCAGGGGGGAAUUUUGGACAAUGGGCGAAAGCCUGAUCCAGCAAUGCCGCGUGCAGGAAGAAGGCCUUCGGGUUGUAAACUGCUUUUGUACGGAACGAAAUAGCUCUGGUUAAUACCCGGAGUUGAUGACGGUACCGUAAGAAUAAGCACCGGCUAACUACGUGCCAGCCGCCGCCGUAA
rnacentral:rRNA from 1 species